GACACCUUAAUCCAACAUCGAGGUCGCAAACCCUUCUUUCAAUGUGAACUCUCCAGAAAGAUUACGCUGUUAUCCCUGUGGUAACUUUUUCCGAUAAUCAACAAUGCUGGAUCACUUGUUAGUAAACCAAAAUUCUACAAAUUAACAGAGAAGCUUUUCAUGUUCCCUAGUCACCCCAACUAAAGAUGUAAGAAUAAAUUUAAAAUCCUCUAUUCUAAUAGAAACAACCCCUUUAUUCCACACUAAAGCUCAACAGGGUCUUCUCGUCCCUCAGCUAAAUCUAAGCCUUUUCACUUAGAAGUUAAUUUUUAAAUAUUCCAGUAGAGACAGCUCAGCCCUCGUCAAACCAUUCAUACCAGCCUCCAAUUAAAAGGCAAGUGAUUGUGCUACCUUUGCACGGUCAGUGUACCGCGGCCGUUU
rnacentral:rRNA from 1 species